rnacentral:rRNA from 1 species
GACGAACGCUGGCGGCGUGCUUAACACAUGCAAGUCGAACGAAGUGGCGAACGGGUGAGUAACGCGUAAUCAACCUGCCCUUCCGAGGGGGACAACAGUUGGAAACGACUGCUAAUACCGCAUAGAGAAGGAGGGGAUUGCGUCUGAUUAGCCAGUUGGAGGGGUAACGGCCAACCAAGGCGAUGAUCAGUCGCCGGUCCGAGAGGAUGAACGGCCACAUUGGGACUGGGACACGGCCCAGACGCCUACGGGAGGCAGCAGGGGGGAAUCUUCCGCAAUGGACGGAAGUCUGGCGGAGCAACGCCGCGUGGGUGAUGACGGCCUUCGGGUUGUAAAGCUCUGUUAAUCGGGACGCGGUACCGGAAUAGAAAGCCACGGCUAACUACGUGCCAGCAGCCGCGGUAAUUC